GUUAGGAAAUUACCUAGCAAUUAUAGUUGCUUACUUCUUCGGCUUCAAUAGCAGUCGUUGUCCCCUUCACCUUUCCAUCAUGAACCGGAUACACUGCAUUUGGGUCGGAUUUAUCCUUUUAAGGGGGUGUUAUAGUAUUGAUCAUAAACAUAAAUUUUAUCAUCCUGUUUAUAAAGAUUUACACACCUAUGCGCGUUAAAUUAGGCUAAGCACAGCUGAUUUGGCUUCUGGAUGACCUUUAUUAUUUUAUCAGUUUAAAGUGUAGAUAUAGAGAAUUAUAGACAACAAGGUGGAAUCCAGCAAUUGCUAGUUGCUGAACAAGAAGCUCGACAGAUAGUCAGUGCUGCAAGAACCGCAAAACUGAACAGAAUGAAGCAAGCAAAAGAUGAAGCCGAAGAAGAAGUAGCUAAAUAUCGAGCCCAUAUGGAAAAAGAAUACCAGAAGACAGUCUCAGAGUCAACUGGAUUUUCUGGAGUGAAUGUAAAACGGCUUGAUGAAGAGAUGGUUAAAAAGAUUGAUCACUUGAAGAAACAAGCUGCAAAAGUUUCGCCAGAGGUAGUCAAGUUGCUUAUGACUCAAGUCACCACUGUCUAGGUUUAAUUAAUUCAUCAUUGCCCAUAAAUUCCUUGAAAAGGGAUUGUUAUUUUUGAGUUUUGAUUAGUUACUUCAAAUUAUUCUUGGGUUAAAUAAAUUUGCUGGCAUUUUCUGCCAUC